rnacentral:sRNA from 1 species
AUUUUUCUCUAGCAAAAAUUUGAGAUAAUUUCUUCAAAAUAUAAAUAAAAUUUCGAUAGUUAGUGCGUAAACUUUUUCUGUCAACCAAACGCGUUCAGUUAAAAGUUAUAUUAAAAAAAUUCAUAUACAUAUAUCAAACAUAUAAAGAUGAUAAAGUAGAUGCUGGAGAGAGACUUUCUUGCAUUGGUUGAAUAUCUUUGAGGGAAGAAACGGCGUCGUUUAGUUGCAUCUCUUUUUCGAGGUGAAAGCAAUAGCUCUCGAAAACUCUAAAACUCACAGUAACUCUAAAGUCAAGAAGAAAGAGAAGCUCCAACUCCAUUUUGUUCAAGUCUGCAUUGCUUACGCCUCCAACCCGAGCAUAGAACUCGUUGUUGUAGUGCCUGUGAAUAUGAAAUUUGUUAGAAAAAACGAAAACCUCUCUUAUCUCAUCCAAUACAUGUUGAAACCUUGAAAUCAAUAACUUAAAAGGGGCACUUAACAUACAUAUAGGUACAAAGUUUGUCCUCAUUUUAUAUUGGUUAGA